UGGGACUGGGACUCAACUCAUCUGGGCUCUUCCACAGGGGCUUCGACAUCGGGAACCACUUCUGUGAGUGGACCUAUGACUACACACACCAUUCGUGGCCCUUCUUCAAGGCUACCCCGGAGAACUACCCCAGCCGGGAGCAGCAGGUAGAGCUGGGGGACAUUGGCUGCAUCCGAGGUCAAUGGAGUGAGCCAAUGGGAUGGGGUCAGUGAGGGAACCUGCACCUGGGUCACACCAACCCCUGCAGUGCUCCAGGACUGGGGAAGAGCAGCUGGAAAGGGCAAUGGAGCUGGAGCAGGGCCUGGAGCACAGGAGAUGGGGAAGGGCUGAGGGAACUGUGGGGUUCAGAUGGAGAAGAGAAGGCUCAGGGGGGACCUGAUGGCUCCUCCAAGUGCCUGCAGGAGGAUGGAGCCAGGAGGGGCUGGGCUCUGCUCCCAAGGAACAAGGGAUGGGACAAGAGGAACUGGCCUCAAGCUGCACCAGGGCAGGUUUAGAUGGAGCUGAGGAACAAUUCCUGCCCCACAGGGUGCUCAGGCAUUGGAACAGGCUGCCCAGGGCAGGGCUGCAGGCACCGGCCCUGCAAGGGUUCACACAGUGUGGAGAUGAGGCCUCAGUGCCAUGGGGCAGGGGUGGCCUUGGCAGAGCUGGGUUUAUAGUUGGACUGGAUGAGCAUGAAGGUGUUUUCCAACCCGGCUGAUCCCAUGGUCCUGUCCUUUCCUCCUUCAAUGCCCCCACACUUCCAUCCCACAGCUGCACUUCAUCCGUCACUACCUCUCGGAGGCCCCAGGCUACCGCAGGGAUGCAGCACCUGAGGAGCAGGCACGCACUGAGCAGGAGAUGCUCACCGAGAUCCAGCGGUGCGUGAGGGCACAGGACCCCCAUCAGCCCCAACCCUGCCCCCUGCUCCAUGGGGUGUGUGGGGCAGGACUGCUCCGUGGGGUGUGUGGGGCAGGACUGCUCUGUGGGGUGUAUGGGGCAGGGGUGACGGCUGCUCUCCCGCAGGUUCGUUUUGGCCUCUCACUUCUUCUGGGGGCUGUGGUCCAUCCUGCAGGCCAAGAUCUCCACCAUCGAGUUCGGGUACCUGGACUAUGCUCAGAGCCGCUUCGAGGCCUAUUUCCAGCACAAGGCGCAGUGCUGAACACCCACAACGUCCCAACGUGCAGCCUGUUUCCCUCUGCCAUGUCCCUCCCCACACCUCUAGGGCUGGUGCAGGGGCUGCACUGGGACCAGGGGCUGCUCCUUCCCCUCCCUCCGACAGCAGAAUGUGACUUGGACCAAUAAACACAGUGGCGAUGGUGGUGACAGUGGUGAUGGUGAUGGAUGUGAUGGUGGGGAUCAGUGCCUGCUCACCCUGUGUGGCUGCUGCUCUGCCCCCCAGCAGCACUGACCCCUUCUCCCCUGACCCCAUUGCUGGGGGCUGUGGCUGGGGCCAUGCAGUAGCACUGGGCUGGAGGAGACAGUAAUGGGCACAGCACCAGGACCCUGAGGUGCACUCUGCAACCCCCAAAGGGAGCAGGGACCCCCCCCAGCACCCUCCCCCUGCCUGCUCCUGCUUACCCUGCCUAUCCCUGCCUGCUCCUUGCAGCAGGGCCAUGCGGGUCACAGAGCUCCAGCACCUCUUCCCCUUUCCCACCAGCAUCAACUGGGGGCUCACGGCUUCACCCUCCCCACGGCCUCUGGGCCCUUGACACAUGUGGGGCAGCACUGGGGGUCAGAGCGUGCAGCAGGUGAUGGGACACACGCAUGUGUAUAUGUAUGUACCCAGCAUGGCUGAGGGAGGCAGUGUGCGGGUCCCUGCUCCAGGAUGGGGUCCCCCUCAGGAUGCUGGUGCUGGUCCUCCCCGGGGUAUAUGGGUUUGCCCCCGGUGGUUCUGCACCUUUGGGAUGCCCGGUUCCCCCCCCCCAGUGUCAGUGUCUCUGUCCUGGGGUCUCGGUCCCUGCAGGUGUGGAUCCCCCCCCGGUGCGGGUGUCUCCCAAGGGGUAUCCGGUGUCUCCGCCGUCCCUGCCGGUUCCUGACCGGUGCUGCGGAUCCCCCUCGGGCCGUGCGGGUCCCCCCGUGCGCGCUCCCGGGGCGGUGCCGCUGCCGCC
rnacentral:lncRNA from 14 species